GCAAAGCGUGCUGAACGACCACAAAAUCCAAAAGUGCUCACACUGUGGAAAAGAGCUGCUGUCUUCCCUCGAAGACAGAUAUCGCAUUUCACACAUUUCCAGAUGUUGAAAGGAGUGUUGGGACACCCUGGAGUAAGAUAUUGUAUGAGGUCAGAGCUUUGCAACAGUGGUGACUGUGUGGAAAAAGUCUGUCCAGCUUUGAGGGGCUCAAGAGGGACCUCACAUUUGCCAUCGCUUGGGUUCUCAUCCAUCACUCCGUCAAGUCCCAGGUCAUAGAGGUUACUUCCUCUUCUGGGUCAUGAAGAGGCUUCACUCUACUCUGGGCACUUGGCUCUUCACACUCCUAGUGAUGCUAGUCUACUGCCAGAGUGGUGAUGAUGGAGAGUGGGGAUCAAGUGACGUCUCUGGGACUGCGGUCACUGGCAAUUCCUCCACUUCAGUCGUCCAUGCAGUCGGGGAUGAGCCAGACAGAACCAGGCCAGUUUUUCAGACCCUGCCAGAGACAGAAGGCGGUGACUGUUAUGUUCACUUUCACACAAGCCAAGUCAUGUCAAGGCGGUUACGAGCUUUCAGAGAGGAAGUUGCUUAUCUGAAGGCCCUUCAACAUGGGAACCAGGCAGUGAUGGAGAACCUGGUCCAGUUUGUAGGAGCAGAAAUGGGAGAUCAACACUACGAGGAGGUGAUCCAAGAGAACGUUGCUGGAAUCAGGGAGGAUCAUGUGAGCUGUGAGAGUGUGGUCACUAAAGCAGCAGAGGAGUUGGAGAGUCAACUGGAAGGAGAUGCUCAAGCCACUUUGGCUGGAAUUCAGAAAAUAAAAGAGGAGUCCCUUGCCUUUGAAGAAAUGCUGCGUACCACGACAGACAUCGCCUCUCGACUGGAGAGCUCCUCACGAGCCCUGCAUGUGGCGAUGAUUGAACAGCUUAGGAAGAACAUGAGACAGCUGCGCGAAACUAAAUGACUCGGUGGGAAGCCAUCCAACCUGGAACAACAGAUAAAAUUCAGACAACCCCACAGCUAUGGUCUGGCUGUCUGGGCGCUAGGGAGCAGAUGGUGAAAAGACUGUAUGAGGCUCUGGAAAUCAGCAAGCAUGAACUUGCAUACAUUGGAGAGAGAGAGAGAGCAAGAUGGAAAAAUAAAAAAUAAAUGAAAAAAAAAGACA
ensembl:lncRNA